rnacentral:rRNA from 1 species
UGGGGAAUUUUGGACAAUGGGGGCAACCCUGAUCCAGCAAUGCCGCGUGAGUGAAGAAGGCCUUCGGGUUGUAAAGCUCUUUUGUCAGGGAAGAAACGGUAGUAGCGAAUAACUACUACUAAUGACGGUACCUGAAGAAUAAGCACCGGCUAACUACGUGCCAGCAGCCGCGGUAAUACGUAGGGUGCAAGCGUUAAUCGGAAUUACUGGGCGUAAAGCGUGCGCAGGCGGUUGUGUAAGUCAGAUGUGAAAUCCCCGGGCUCAACCUGGGAAUUGCAUUUGAGACUGCACGGCUAGAGUGUGUCAGAGGGGGGUAGAAUUCCACGUGUAGCAGUGAAAUGCGUAGAUAUGUGGAGGAAUACCGAUGGCGAAGGCAGCCCCCUGGGAUAACACUGACGCUCAUGCACGAAAGCGUGGGGAGCAAACAGGAUUAGAUACCCUGGUAGUCCCUGAGCGGGCUGGCAAGGCGCAU